CUUUUGGAGGUAAGGCAAGCGCUGCGUUAACUAAGUUUUCAUGUCAUCGGGUGUAGUUCAUAAAGGUUGAAGAGUGUAUGUUAGGAUGAAGUGUGAAUUCAUGCCAGGAAUAAUAAGUGUGAAGUUUGAUUUCCUCCCUUCUGUAAUAAGCAGCCAAUGAGUUCUCACGGAAGGGGAUAAUUCUCACUGAAACUACAGAAUAAAGCCGCCAGUUAAAAUCAAGGAACGGUUGUGCUCGUGGUUACUGAAGGUAGCGAGCGAUACGACCAUUAUCCGUUUCGAAUUCACCAACUCAAAGACGCUUGCCCGCUCCAUCAUAACUCCGUAAGUUUUCCCUCCCUGUGUAGAUCAAACGUCCUGUCUGUAAAUCCUGGGUAUGCCCACAUCAUUAAUGAAUAAGAUGUGUAGAAAACUGUUUAGCCAUAGUUAAAGGAAUUUCAUAAAGCAGCUGUCAUGAUUGCAUGUUACAGAAUACUACUGUUGUACAUCUAAUAUCCCCUAGCAGAUUUCGUUGCCUUUGCACAUAUUCUGUCAUGUUACUGUGGUCUUUUUAAAAGUCAAUAAAUAUAUGUGUAGCGUGUACAUGUUUGUUUCACUGUAGAUCUGUUUAAGACCUCCUAGAAACACCUAAUUUCAUCCCCCAGCAUUAAUUAAUAAGCUGUGUAGAAGCUGUUUAGCCAUAAUUAAAGGCCUUUCAUAAAGAGGCUGUCAUGAUUGCAUGUGCCUCAUGUUUAACACGUAUUGCUUUUUACAGAAUACUACUGUUGUACAUCUAAUAUCCCCUAGCAGAUUUCGUUGCCUUUGCACAAAUUCUGUCAUGUUACUGUGGUCUUUUUAAAAGUCAAUAAAAAUGUGUGUAGCGUGUACAUGUUUGUUUCACUGUAUAUUUGUUUAAGCCCUCCUAGAAACACCUAAUUAAAGGCCUUUCAUAAAGAGGCUGUCAUGAUUGCAUGUGCCUCAUGUUUAACACGUAUUGCUUGUUACAGAAUACUACUGUUGUACAUCUAAUAUCCCCUAGCCGAUUUCGUUGCCUUUGCACAAAUUCUGUCAUGUUACUGUGGUCUUUUUAAAAGUCAAUAAAUAUGUGUGUAAAGUGUACAUGUUUGUUUCACUGUAGAUCUGUUUAAGACCUCCUAGAAACACCUAAUUUCAUCCCACAGCAUUAAUUAAUAAACUGUGUAGAAGCUGUUUAGCCAUAAGUAAAGGCCUUUCAUAAAGCGGCUGUCAUGAUAAACCUGAAUCUGAAAAUACCUUUAGGAUCUUUUCUUUGGGG